rnacentral:tRNA from 1 species
GCGGAUAUAGUACAAGGGUAGUGCCUUAGCCUUCCAAGCUAAUGAUGCGGGUUCGAGUCCCGCUAUCCGCU